rnacentral:lncRNA from 1 species
AAAAGUACAGAGGAAGUACCACGGUACAAUGAUGGUGCAUAUUUAUUAUGGUACUCUUAUACCAUCAAAAAAAACAAAAAAAAAACAAAGGUUAUGCCACAGUAAAUAUCCAAAAAAAAAAAAACAAAUGGUAAUACAGUGGUACUUUUUUUCUUUUCCUUUUUUUUUUUUUUAUUUUUAAGUAGUGUAAACUGACUGGUUUUUAUAUUCACGUACCAUGGUAUUUCCACUGUUGACUGACUUUUUCACUUAUACAGCUCAAUGGACAGACCUCCUCAUCUCUCCAGCCUCUCUCUCCACACCUGGAUUAAUGAUGACAGCCCAUGAAAUGAGCUCCGGGCCACGGGUGCGUGGAGGUCAGAAACAGCACGAGAUCAGAUUAGACUCUGACCAGCCAAGCUGAUCUACAACCUCCUUCAUCUACUCAAACCCACACCUGAAACAUUACAAGAGAUACGGCAGAAUUCCUCUCAGCUAACCCUUAUGUACUGUAUCAUACUGCUGCUGUAUUAUGACACCUUAAUGGUAUCAUACAGUAACACUGCGAUAUAACAUGGUGCCAAUAUACAUGGUAAUUGUAUUACACCAUAGUACUAUUUUGGUAGUGAAACACACAUGAUAUUCCAAAGAGAACCAAUAUAAAAAGUACUACAGAAGUACCAUGGUAUUUAUGGAUAUACUUUGGCAUACCUAUUAAACACCAUUCAAAGAUACAAGCUCUUACUAUGCUUUACCAUCACUGUACCAUGGUACACCACAACAGUACGUUUUUAAAGAUAGUUUUAACAUGGUACUUUCAUAGUUUUUUAGACAUUUACCAUAAUUGUACCAUGGCAUCUUUGAAUGCACUUUGGCAUACAUAUAAAAUACUAUUUAAAGAACCAAAGUUUUAUUAUCACAUGGUAUACUAACACUAUAUGUCAUUAAUCAUGCCAAAAAACAUGGCAUUUCCAUGGUACAUGCCACAAAAACAUUAAAUGUUCCAAAAAGGGGUACUUUAUGUAUGUAACAUGAACAUUUUUCAUUCUCAUUGUUUG